CCUACGGGAGGCAGCAGUGGGGGAUAUUGCACAAUGGGGGAAACCCUGAUGCAGCGACGCCGCGUGGGCGAAGAAGUAUUUCGGUAUGUAAAGCCCUAUCAGCAGGGAAGAAGAAAUGACGGUACCUGGGUAAGAAGCACCGGCUAAAUACGUGCCAGCAGCCGCCGUAAUACGUAUGGUGCAAGCGUUAUCCGGGUUUAAUGGGUGUAAAGGGAGCGGAGGCGGCACGGCAAGCCUGAUGUGAAAGCCCGCGGCCCAAACGUGGGACUGCAGUGGGAACUAGCGGGCUUGAGUGACGGAGAGGUAGGCGGAAUGCCUAGUGUAGCGGUGAAAUGCGUAGAUAUUAGGAGGAACACCAGUGGCGAAGGCGGCCUACUGGACGGUGACUGACGCUGAGGCUCGAAAGCGUGGGGAGCGAACAGGAUUAGAUACCCGUGUAGUC
rnacentral:rRNA from 1 species